rnacentral:misc_RNA from 1 species
GGAAGGCAACCCCCUUGUUUUGUAAUGAGACAAGAGUGGGCUUGGUUUAUGGCUUUUGUCGGCGUAAUCGCCGGCUCAGCUGAAAUACACGAGCAACCCAUUUGAAAUAAACGGCUUGACUCGGCGUAAUAAUUAUUUCGCUGAGGACGUUUUCUUCAAAAGUUAGUGGUGCUUCUAGUGCGCUUUUGUAGCAACUCAA